UAGCUCAGUGGUAGAGCACUUGUCUUGCAUGCAGGAGGACCAGGGUUCAAUCCCUA
rfam:Neotoma lepida isolate 417 scaffold_1797, whole genome shotgun sequence.